UUUGGGGAGCUCAGUUGGUAGAGCAUGAGAUUCUUAAUCUCAAGGUUGUGGGUUCAAGCCCCACAUUGGGCAAAA